UGAUCGAUCGAAUAAAAGUCAGGGGAAAACCCUAGCUUCACCAAUACCACAAGGAAAUCAGUAGAGAUCCAAAGAAAUUGAAAGCACAAUCAAGAAAUUUCAAGCUCUUAACUUGUUCAUUGAAAGAGCGUGAAGGAAGAAGGUUCGAGUACUAAGAAAUCGAAAGGCUCACAGGAUCGAGGUAAAUCCUCAAUUUAGGCGACUUGGAGAAUUGGAGCGAGCACAUGUUCAUGAUAUGUUAUACCAAGCGCUUCCGCUAGUUGCACUAAUGUUUUGGGUCAAAAUUUCUAUUUUGUACAACUUGUUUGUGGACAUACAUUUUAACACUUGAUGUCUAGGUUUUUAGUAGUGUCUUGUCGGACAAAUUGUAGAAUGGUAAUUGUCUUAUUUAUGUUUAUAACAGAGGUAUAUCCGUUUUACG